GGUGGUUCUUGGGUGACACAGCCUGGAAUUGGGCUUUCUCCUCUCUGGUUCUGGGUGUGUCACCCGAGAACCACA
rfam:Myotis davidii contig158752, whole genome shotgun sequence.